AGCGCAUUUUCGUCGUGAUUUGGAAGCGUCCAGCGUCGUCUCUCACACGCCACGCAGCUUGGCCAGAAAUUGUUUGACUGGGCGAUACCGAAGCAAUCGCUCACCUCAAAUUGAGUACUGGGCCCAGUCGACCGUCAUAGGCGCAUCGUCUUUAUUUGCAGGACAGCACUUAGUGUCAUGGUUUGGAAACAUCCGUUGGCGUCUCUCACUCGCCACGAAGCUUGCCAGUAAUUGCAUGUCAGUUGGCUUGGCGGUCACAGUAACGCAUUCAAUCGGCUCAAUAGUAAUGGAUGGCCUGGAAGCAGGCCGGUAGCGAUUCAGAUUGCUAGAUGGAGCCCAACAGGAGCUGCUGAGCUGUUGCCCACUUUGUUUGAGAGGGCGGUGCCGGAGCUGUCGCUCACUCCAGGUUGAGUAUUUAGCCAGCAGGCCGUCGUGGAGCAUGUCAUCUUCUUGGACAGCGCAUCAUCUUCGUGAUUUGGAAAUAUCUGGUGGCGUCUCUCACACGCCACGCAGCUUGUCCAGAAUUUACAUAUCAGUCGACUUGGUAGUCACAGCAGCGUAUUAAAUCGGCUCCGUUGUACUUGAUGGCAUGCAAGCAGGCUGUUUGCGUUUCAGGAUGCUGGAUGAGCCCACAAAGAGCUGCUGAGCUGUUGCAUAUUUUGUUUGAGUGGGCGAUGCCGAGGCACUCGCUCACUCCAAAUUGAGAAUUUGGCCCAGUUGGCCGUCGUGGGCGCAUCGUGUUCUUGGUCAGCACUUCUGUGUCGUGGUUUGGAAACAUCUAUUGGCGUCUCUCAGACUCCACAAUUUGUCGAGGAAUUGCAUGUCAGCUGACUUGGCGGCAAAGUAUUAAAUCGGUUCCGUUAUGAGUCAGGAUGUUGGAUGGAGCCCACAAGGAGCAGUUGAGCUAUUUCAUAUUUGUUUUGAUCAUCUUGGGAGCUUGCGACUUCCAUGUCUUCAUUUAGAACGCGUUCCAAUGUUAACCGGACUCUCUGGAGGCCAUGCUCCAGGAGUGUUUCGUGGCUGAUGGCUGUAUUUAUCUGGGUGUGUUGUAGUUGCGGCUGCUGUGGUUGCGUCAGCGAUUGCAGGUUUCCUGUCCCCUGAGGUGAUGUCGUUAGCUGCUGUUGUGGCGUUACUGAUGCCUGUUGAGUCUGCAUUGGCAGAGUAUGCUGUGUUUGAUGAUUCUGCUGCCUCUCGUCCACAUAGUCUGGUAGGAUUAAUCGCUGGAUUGUUGGGGGUUGGCCUUGGAUGUUAGCCACUAGCUCUUCACGUGUAUUUGCUGGAGUUGGUGCCUGGCCUGGAUGACAGUCGUCGUUAGCUGAGUUUGUUGGAGUUGCGGCUGCUGUAGCUGCGGUUGCAACUGCGGAUUCACUGACUCCUGAGUUGGCGUAGUUAGCUGCUGUUGUUGCUG